GCCAUACCAAUCGUCGACCUG
rnacentral:rRNA from 1 species